rnacentral:rRNA from 1 species
UGGGGAAUAUUGGACAAUGGGGGCAACCCUGAUCCAGCCAUGCCGCGUGAGUGAUGAAGGCCUUCGGGUUGUAAAGCUCUUUCAACGGUGAAGAUGAUGACGGUAGCCGUAGAAGAAGCCCCGGCUAACUCCGUGCCAGCAGCCGCGGUAAUACGGAGGGGGCGAGCGUUGUUCGGAAUUACUGGGCGUAAAGGGCGUGUAGGCGGACUAUUAAGUCAGAGGUGAAAGCCCAGGGCUCAACCCUGGAACUGCCUUUGAUACUGGUAGUCUUGAGAAUUGGAGAGGUGUGUGGAAUUCCUAGUGUAGAGGUGAAAUUCGUAGAUAUUAGGAAGAACACCAGUGGCGAAGGCGGCACACUGGCCAAUUUCUGACGCUGAGGCGCGAAAGCGUGGGGAGCAAACAGGAUUAGAUACCCCCGUAGUCC